AUUCCAUUUGAACCUUACUGUUGAUAUUAAGUUGAACCUUAUCGCCAUUGAGGAGUGAUAUAGAUAUAGUACAUAGACACCCACAUCUCUAAUUUCUUUAUUGUCUACUGCAAGUCCUAAACAUCUCAUUGUCUGCACCUGCUAUAGCCAAUUGGAUCUGGCAUCUAUUGCUUAGAAGUGUACCAGUCUGCCUCCUUAUUACACUGGUGUAUCCUUUGUCAACAUUCAGGCAGGUCGACCUGCCUUGGCCCCGAGCUUUUUAACGGAAGUGACCACCAUAUGUAAAUAAAGAAACAGGAAC